AUUAUUUUGGCAGAUUAGUGCAUUAAAUUUAGAAUUUAAUUAUGUAAAUAAAAUUUACAAAUAAUAC
rnacentral:tRNA from 2 species